GGUGACGUAGCCAAGUGGACAACGGCAGGAGGUUCAGACCCUCCGGGCGAAGGCCCUACCCAGGUUCGAAUCCUGGCGUCAUCACCA
rnacentral:tRNA from 1 species